rnacentral:lncRNA from 1 species
AUAAAACAUUGCAGAUAAGGCGAAUACGGCCAGUUACAGGAAAAGGAAAAUGCCAAGUUCAGCUUGGGAUAGAAUGUGCAGCUAAUUUGUAAAAGUAUGGUUGAAGAAUAGUAUUGUCAUGUGUUAGAUAGUUUAUGAUUGUGUAUUAGUUAAGGUUACUCGAUUUUGGGGAAAUAAUGUGUAAAGUUUAAUGUAUAAACAAUUUAUGUUUAUAUCUUCCGCAAUAGUGAUAGAAUUAGUAUACCGGAUCCGCGGCGAUUUGGGACCCGGAUUCGGGAAUGCUACAACUUCUGACUGGAUAUCGGAUAUGACGCUGAAGAAAACUUGCACUGAUGAAUAUCAACUCGCCAAGUAUCUAAAUACUCACAAAAUACACUCAAUAAUCUAGAGAGAGAAAGAGAGAAAGCUUAUGUUUCUGGUGUGAUUUUCAAUUCUAACUUAGCCCUCUAUUUAUAGAAAAAUUUUAGCAGACUUGACCUGCAACCUGAUGGCUUUACCUGCUACUAUUCUCAUCCACCACAUUUAAAAUAAAAUUCAG